CGCGUAUGCAACCUACCUUGUACUGAGGGAUAGCCCGAAGAAAUUCGGAUUAAUACCUCAUAGUAUUUAGCGAUCACAUGAUCAUUAAAUUAAAGAUUACGGUACAAGAUGGGCAUGCGUCCUAUUAGCUAGAUGGUAAGGUAACGGCUUACCAUGGCUACGAUAGGUAGGGGGCCUGAGAGGGUGACUCCCCCACACUGGUACUGAGACACGGACCAGACUCCUACGGGAGGCAGCAGUGAGGAAUAUUGGUCAAUGGAGGCAACUCUGAACCAGCCAUGCCGCGUGCAGGAAGACGGC
rnacentral:rRNA from 1 species